UACAGAGGGUGCAAACGUUGCUCGGAAUUACUGGGCGUAAAGCGUACGUAGGCGGAUUCGCAAGUCGGGCGUGAAAUCCCUGGGCUCAACCCAGGAACUGCGUUCGAAACUGCGUAUCUUGAGUGAUGGAGAGGGAAUCGGAAUUCUCGGUGUAGAGGUGAAAUUCGUAGAUAUCGAGAGGAACACCAGUGGCGAAAGCGGAUUCCUGGACAUUUACUGACGCUGAGGUACGAAAGCGUGGGGAGCAAACAGG
rnacentral:misc_RNA from 1 species